rnacentral:rRNA from 1 species
UUGACCUCGGAUCAGGUAGGGAUACCCGCUGAACUUAAGCAUAUCAAUAAGCCGGAGGAAAAGAAACCAACAGGGAUUGCCUUAGUAACGGCGAGUGAAGCGGCAACAGCUCAAAUUUGAAAGCUGGCCCUUUCAGGGUCCGCGUUGUAAUUUGUAGAGGAUGAUUCGGCGAGGGCUCCCGCCUAAGUCCCCUGGAACGGGGCGUCAUAGAGGGUGAGAAUCCCGUAUGCGGUGGGCUGCCUUAGCCAUGUGAAUCUCCUUCGACGAGUCGAGUUGUUUGGGAAUGCAGCUCUAAAUGGGAGGUAAAUUUCUUCUAAAGCUAAAUACCGGCCAGAGACCGAUAGCGCACAAGUAGAGUGAUCGAAAGAUGAAAAGCACUUUGGAAAGAGAGUUAAAAAGUACGUGAAAUUGUUGAAAGGGAAGCGCUUGCAACCAGACUUGUCCGCAGUUGCUCAGCCGGUCUCCUGACCGGCGUACUCUUCUGCGGCCAGGCCAGCAUCAGUUCGGGCGGUCGGAUAAAGACCUCGGGAAUGUGGCUCCUCUCGGGGAGUGUUAUAGCCCGGGGUGGAAUGCGGCCAGCCUGGACUGAGGAUCUCGCUUCGGCAAGGAUGCUGGCGUAAUGGUUGUAAGCGGCCCGUCUUGAAACACGGACCAAGGAGUCUAACAUCUAUGCGAGUGUUUGGGUGUCAAACCCAUACGCGUAAUGAAAGUGAACGGAGGUGGGAACCCGCAAGGGUGCACCAUCGGCCGAUCCUGAUGUCUUCGGAUGGAUUUGAGCAAGAGCAUAGCUGUUGGGACCCGAAAGAUGGUGAACUAUGCCUGAAUAGGGUGAAGCCAGAGGAAACUCUGGUGGAGGCUCGCAGCGGUUCUGACGUGCAAAUCGAUCGUCAAAUUUGGGUAUAGGGGCGAAAGACUAAUCGAACCA